AUGUAUACAAAUCGUCCGAGUGAUUAUUCUACUAAUCGCACAACUAAUUAUGUUACAUAUGCUAUAUCAAACGUGAGGGAAAAAAUUAAUGCAUCUUGCAACGCUUUCAAAAGUUCUUUUUUUGCCAAGUUAUAUAAUCAACGUUUAUUAAAUAAUGAUUAUUUUUUAUAUGAUAUUAAUGAUCAGUUAGUGAAUAAUACAAACUUACAUAUGUGUAUAAUAGAUAUAUCCAAACAGGAAAACAUAUAUCCACAAGAGAAGCAAAAUAUAUUAAACGUGUUGGAUAAUAUAAACAGCUGUGGUACAAUUUAUAACUAUACAACAUGCUCAAUAUACAAGGACGUUAUACACAUGCUAAAAAAAAAUUAUAAAAAAAUAAAUAAACUGGAUUUAACUAUCGAUGAAAAAGUAGAAAGGAUGCUAAUGUAUCGUAGUUUUUUAGAUAUAUACGAAAUAAAUGAGAAGAAAAAAGAAAAAAAAAAAAAAAAAUUUUUUAUUAAUGAUGACCUUAGUAGUAGAAGUAGCACUGGUACUACCAGCGGUAGUGACAUUGAUAGUGUACAUAAAGGAAAAAAGUUUUUAAAUAUAAACUUAUUUAAAGAUUUAAAAAAAAAUGAAAAAUAUUACAUAAAUAACCAAGACCACAUAAAUAAUGAAAAUGAUCAUACUCUGCAAAAACAUAAUAAUAUAUAUUUAUGUAAAAUAGACAAUUAUUAUUUAUUAUUAGAUAAUUCAAAUAACAAUCAAUUAAAUUUAAUAUUAUAUAAAAUAAAAAAUGUAAAUAAACAAAACAUGUUAAUAUCAUAUUUUUUUUAUAGUUAUUAUGAUGCUGUGUUAUUAGCUGAAAAAACCUGUUGUCACAUAUUGCAUCAGCUAUUUGUUUAUUCCAUUUAUGAUUAUGGAGGUCGAUUUUGGGGUUCAUCUAUGUUAGAGUACGGGUUUCUUUUCAAAAUUAAAAACAUAUUCGACUUUCUCAACCGAGCUGUGCUAUAUGACCCGUUUUUGUGCAGGGAAGAAGAUGAUAAACACAUACUUGCCCUAUUAAGUAUUGAUGCAAACUCAUCAGACCAAUAUAAAUAUAUUACAACUAAUAUGGAUAUACAUAAACAAAAUAACAAAUAUCAUAAUUUUGUAUAUGUUAUAAAUAAUAUUUUAGAAAAUGAAAAUAUUUUUACUUCUAAAUAUGUUAGUAACUAUUAUAAUGUCAAAAAGGUUAAUGCAUUACCUAUGGUUCAUCUUUUAGAUAUAAAUAUUCAGUUACUCAAAUUGAAAAAUGUGUUAUACAAUUCGUUACAGGGGAUAAAUAAGUUAUUACAACAAAAUUGUGAUAACAUAAUAGACACAUUGUCAUACUCCUCUGGUGAAGAGGGACAAGAUGAAGAAUUAUUUAUGCGUAACUUAAUAAAAAAAGUGAGUAAAAAAAACAAAAAUGAAGAAAUAUUGUUAAAAAAAAAAAAAAUAAAAAAAAAUAUUAAUUCUAAUUUUUCUCGCAUUAGUUACAAUAUAAAUAACGACAAAGAUAGCAUUAGUGUUAACUCAAAUGAUAACGAAGAAAUUAAUCGAAUUUGGGAUGUAGUAUUA
ensembl:lncRNA